AGCGCAACCCCCUCUAUGGGAUAGUUACUACUGCAAGAGGAACUACUAUUCACAACUGAGCCGGUGUGAGCAACAACGGAGGAAAGGUGGGGAUGACAGUCAAAUCAUUCAUCUAGCCCUUCUACUGAUCUUGNGCUACUACACCGUUACUAUCAACUGGGCGUUGUCACAGCAUACAAGAAGAAGGCGAGAGCCGCGCACGCGCGGAUGCAAGACACUCAACACCACAAACGCUCCCACUUCACAUUGCAGGGCUUGGUAGACUCGCCCUGCCAUGAAUAUCGUGAAUAUAGCUAGUUAAUCGUCACGAUCAUCAAUGCUGCCGGGUGAA
rnacentral:rRNA from 1 species